AUUAAAAGAAAAUAUUUUCACUUUUCAUCACAUCAUCGUUGUCGUCAGGAGUUAAGAUUUAUCGCGAAUGUUGCAUCUUUAUAUUUUAAAAUAUGUCAAUCGGAUAUUUUGCAAAAGGGUAACAUCCUACAUUGAUUUUGUCAUAAAGAAUACAUCAAAGAGGAUUCAGGAAGUUUCACGUUGGUCUUUUCUUCCGAUUUAAUAAAUAGCACAAUCUAAAGGCCCGUUUAAACGAUCCAACAAUGUUGGACCAACAUCGUACAACAUUGUUGGAUGCACAUUGGAUAAUGUUGGACGGUUGUGUUUAAACGAUCCAUUAACUUGUGUUAGGAAACUGCUCACUGGGGCCAAAAGCAUAGCAGGCACAGAAAUGAAGGCGAAGUAACUCGAUGAAUGAUGAAUUCUCUAUCUCCUCACUUCCAUAAAACGAGGCUUAAAAGUUAAAAUACUAAAAUUAAUGCAAAAUUUAGGUAGGGACAGGGGAUUGUGUGCGUUAGUCUGAGGUUUGAGAAAAAACUUCAGCCUGAGAAUUUUUACCCACGAGUUGGGCAAAUAUCCAUCUUACCAAAAAUCAAGUCAAUCUCUCCAAAGAUGGUGUAGCAAUGGAUAAUUUAAAAGCAAAAUUGUGUUAAAUGAAAAGCAAACGCCUACGAGCUCGAGCAUCUAUUGGCUGUUAAUGUAUCACGGUAAAAAGCUCAUGUUACGUGAAAUAGUAAUAAAAGAAUGAGAACAAUAAUAAUAUAUUUUCCUUCACACUUGCUUUGAGGCUCAGUGAGCCAAUACAGCAGACAACCGUACGAUCCAAGACGAAAAUUUGUCUUAUAUGAAGGAACAUUUAGUUUUAAAAGAAUGAUAAAGAUGUCAAAUGUGUUCUGCAAGAUGUUAUUUUCAGAAAGAAUACAUCAAAGAGGAUUCAGGAAGUUUCACGUUGGUCUCUUCUUCCGAUUUAUUAACACGAAAAGUUAAAAAUAAAUACUCGUAAUAUAAUGAUUAUAUAACAGUAAAUAUAACCAUUUCAUUAAUAAAGUAUAUUUCUUAUCAA